CUAGACUUUGGCCCCGCCUUCCCCACGGCUUUCCGGAGUCCGCUUAAAGGAGCCGCGCAGAGGAGCGUCCACAGGUUUCUCGGGCAGUAAAAGAAGGCAGGUGCGUGUCCUGAAAUGCAUGAAGUACAUCCUAGUGGAGAGUGCACACACAGAAGGAAGCAGCUACUCAGCCAUGCGGCACUGUAACUCCUAGGAAGAAUCAAGGAUUUCUGCAGCAAGGAAAUUGGAUACGGAUGAACACGAGGGAGGACACUGCUGGCCACUGAAGGGAAAGCCCAAUGUAGGCAGGAGGCCAGAAUGCACCAACGCUUUCAGGGGAUACAAUGACACAUAAAGCACAGACCGUGAGACCUGAGAGGAAGAAGAUAAAAGGAAGGCUGUGGAACCAGAGUGUUAAGAAAUCUCAUAGCUGACAAUUUGCUAGCAAAGAACAGGAUGCCUACAAAAUUCGUUAAGUGUCAGAUUUCACAGCUUCCUCUGCUCUGCCUAAAAAGGAAAACUCACAUCUUCAAGCUGUUACAAUAAAACUAUUGGCAGUAUGUAAAGUGAGAA